rnacentral:rRNA from 1 species
UAAGUAAGUGGUGGAAAUUAAACCAAAUGGGAUAUCUUUAGUAAUUGCGAAUGAACAAGGAUAUGCUUAGCUUGACAACUGGAGCUAUUGGCUUUGAAUUGUAUUGUGGAAAUGUAUUACCAACAGAGGUGCAGGUGCCAGCCUAUUGAAAUAAAGCGUCAAUGAGGGUGAGAAUCCUGUUUGUCAUGUGCAGCCCUUUGUGCACGGUGUAUAUUUGCUGAGUCACACUCCUUGGCAUUGGAAUGCAAAGUGGGUGGUAAGUUUCAUGUAAAGGUAAACAUGCAAUUGAGACUGAUAGCACACAAGUACCAUGAGGGAAAUAUGAAAAGGACUUUGAAAAGAGAAUUAAAUGAGUUUGUAUUUGCUGAACACAAAGUAAACAGACUUGAUUUGCUUGGUGGGAGUGUUGCACUUGCUUGACAAGAGCUUUGGGCUGUGGGUGUAAUGAUUCUUUCUUUGCAUGCCAGUUUCUAUUUGUACAUCUGAUUACCUUUGCACAUGAAUGAUAAGUCUCCUGUGGGGGGUGGAUUGCAUGUGCAUGUAAUGAUUUGUGUUUUGAUAAAUGUGUCUGGUGUAUGUGUGUGUUCCUGUGCUUGGGGAUGCUUCCUUCCUUGGACUUACAAGCCCUGACACACACAUGCUGGCAAAAUGCUUCUGCUUGACCCG